CAAUACCUGAGUACAGUGGCGCACGGGUGAGUAACACGUGAAUGAUCUACCUCCGAGUGGGGAAUAACCUAGAGAAAUCUGGGCUAAUACCGCAUAACACUUACGAGUCAAAGCAGCAAUGCGCUUGGAGAGGAGUUCGCGGCCGAUUAGUUAGUUGGCGGGGUAAUGGCCCACCAAGACGAUGAUCGGUAUCCGGCCUGAGAGGGCGCACGGACACACUGGAACUGAAACACGGUCCAGACUCCUACGGGAGGCAGCAGUGGGGAAUUUUGCGCAAUGGGGGAAACCCUGACGCAGCAACGCCGCGUGGAGGAUGAAAUCCCUUGGGAUGUAAACUCCUUUCGAUCGGGACGAUUAUGACGGUACCGGAAGAAGAAGCCCCGGCUAACUUCGUGCCAGCAGCCGCGGUAAUACGAGGGGGGCAAGCGUUGUUCGGAAUUAUUGGGCGUAAAGGGCGCGUAGGCGGUUUGACAAGUCUGAUGUGAAAUCUAUGGGCUCAACUCAUAGUCUGCAUUAGAAACUGUCGGGCUUGAGUAUGGGAGAGGUGAGUGGAAUUUCCGGUGUAGCGGUGAAAUGCGUAGAUAUCGGAAGGAACACCUGUGGCGAAAGCGGCUCACUGGACCAUAACUGACGCUGAGGCGCGAAAGCUAGGGGAGCAAACAGGAUUAGAUACCCUGGUAGUCCUAGCCCUAAACGAUGAUUGCUUGGUGUGGCAGGUACCCAAUCCUGCCGUGCCGAAGCUAACGCGAUAAGCAAUCCG
rnacentral:rRNA from 1 species